GUGCUGCUCCACGUUCUGUCUGUGAGCAUGGCCCUUCCCACAGGCCAUGCUUUGGAACAGAUGGACACACCCCGUGUGCACACCAGGGCUGGCAGGUGCCCUCAGGAAUCCUGGGCUUAAAUGGUGCAUGUCUAUAUAAUGGGAUGUUUCUGUCCUAAUUUACAGGGUUUUAAAUAAUAUCCAGGCUCUGGAUGCCACACAGGCCUUGUAACACAUGGCAGGGUCCUUUGCUGCCUCUGGGCCAGAGUGAGGACUGAGCCAUGGGCAGUGUGGGCUUGGAUUUACUCUCCAGCUAGAACUGCCCUUGCUGAGGAAGGAUCAGAGAAAGGAUUUUUAGUGCUGCCUUGGUUUUGCCCUUGAAGACAGGUUGUUGAGACAACAGCAGUUUUGUGGACACAGAAAGGGCAUCAGCAGAAUGCAUUUCCACAUGGCCCCAGGGCUAUGGCUGUACUGCAGGAAACUGUGAUUUUUUUUUUUUCCCCCUAGCCUCCCCUCCUCUUCACUCCAACAUGCCUUUCUUGUGCCCUCUCCUUUCUGCUUGGUGGGGGCCCAUUCUUUUGGAAGAGUUUAGGGCAGCCUAUCUGUACCAGGUAUCACUUCUCUUUGCAGAGGCAGCUUGGGAGCUUUGGUGAUUGAACAGGAGACAAAACAGAGAACAAAAACAGCCAGCAUGUCACAGGUGAUGCAAUCCCUGCUCUGUCCCCAGAGGGGUCUGUAAAGUAGCUGCCUUGGAGGGAUGGAAAUGCUGUGGACAGAGCUCUCCAGGCCCUGUGCAGAGCCAGCCCUGGAGCUCAUCCAUGGGGUGGUGGCCCUGGGGACAGUGGAAUCUCUUCCCUUUUCUUGUCUGGCUUUUUUCACAGCUCAUCUUAUGGCAUGUCCUACCAAGGGAUGUGGACAAUGGCUGCCAGGACUGCACCUUGUUUUGGAGGGAGGGCAAGGGGCUGGAAGGUGCUCAGCAGCUCAGGAGCCAUCUGGAGACCUGUGGUGAGGCCCCACCAACAAUGGGGUACUGGGUGAUGACUUAGAGAUGCCUUGGAGAUAGAGAGGCCUAGACUUCUUCUAAUUCUCCUUUCUUCCAGUUGCAGACCGUUUGCAUGUGGGAAGUGUUUAAUUUAGAAAGGCCAGCACUGCUGUAUCACAUUCCUGUCAGUCUCUGUUGGUUUAUCACCAGUGAAAUCCAGGUGUGAAAACAGAAUCAGGCUUUGAUUUCAUCUGCCCCUGCUGUUUUACACCACUAACAGCUUUGCAUUUCGAUAGCAGCUUUUAUUCUAGGAGCUCAAUGGGCUUCACAGACAGCCAAUUAAUUAAUUGAGCCUCCCCAGCCAGCCUGUGCCCUCAAUGCCACAAGGAAGCAUUUGCAGAGGAGGAAACAGAGGCAGAGAAGCAAAAUUAUUGGCCCCAGCUAAAGAGCUGAGCUGGCUGCUGCCUCCAGAGCGAGGCCUCACACUGCACUGGGGGGGCCAUUGCUCCCAGUUCUGUGGAGAUGGUCCUGGUGUUUCCAAACUGGUGUGGGAAUGGUCUCAAUGCAGAGAUCCUUUGGGUGUCUAUCAGUGACUGUCAGCCCUGGAGCAUCUGACCCCAAAGUAACUCAUGAGCUGCCAUCACUUUGGACCACCCCAGCCUCCUGAUAAGGAAUCCUGUGAGACCAUGAAACAGUGUCAGGAGGCCCCACUGCUGUUUCCAUCAUCCAUCCUUGCUGACCAACUCUUUUUUCUCCAGGUUGUGACUUUGAGCAACAGGAUUUAGUGAGUGGCAUUCCUGCCCAUGGCUGGGGAGUUGGAAUGAAAUGAUGAUGACUUUUUAUUUUAUAAUCCUAGAUUACUUUUAAGGUCCCUUCCCAUCCAAAACAUUCUGUGGUCCUAUGAGGAGGCACUCAGGGUUUGCAAGGAAAGGCUGUUUCAGCUGAAAGGUUUGCUUUGGUCCAGGUGCUGAGAUCUGGGGAUGAACCUGCCAUGAAGGCACUAAACAAGAGAGGGGUGACCCUCAGCUCCCCCUCCAGUUCUGUUCACUGCCUGCUGAGCAAGACACAGCCCUGGGGAGCUGUGUGCUGUGGGCAGGGUCUGGGGACCUGGAGGAGGUGGAGGAAGAGUGAAUGCAUUCCUGGAGAAAUUACCUGCCUUUUAUUAUGAAAUCCUGCUAAUGGUUUGUUGUCUACACAAAUAACCACGGGGAAUGAACUCGUGCACUUCCCAGCCUGCUCUGUGUCUUCCUGGCUCAGCUCCUUUCUGAACAAACAUAACCUUUUGCAAGAAUACCUGUCAAAAUCGCUCUGAAAUAUUGAAAUAACAGGAUGGGAUAUGGUUUGCUCCUGGGCCCUAGUGCUCAUCCGUCAGGACUUAGGAUGCCCAUCCAAAGCGACUUGUGAGCAGGAUGCAAGGGAAAAAAACUGCAGCAGGGCCUCAGAGGGCUGCAUUUGGGGAGCUUAGCACCUCACCUCACUGUGCUGGCCUCCUGGGCACCCACACACCCACCUGGGAGCAGGGCAGCUCUCAGACCUUCAUGAAGCCCUCACUUUUUGUUGGUCAUGGGUGGGUGAGACAUAGGGGCCUGUGACUCAGCUGGAGCUGAUCAGGACAAAAUCCUGUCCUUUGGCCACCAGUGUGGCCUGGAAGUGCCCUCAUGGCCCCAACACCUCCCUUCUCACCUCAUGUGAGUAUUUUGGAGAUGGGGCAAAAAGCUGUGGAGUCUUGGAACAGUGCUGGACAGCAAUGGUUGAGGGGGUGGCUGCUUGGGUGGACCCAUUGACAAAGAGCCAUCCCCUUCCCCUCCAGUCCCAGAGUGCCAGGGGCUGGCCAGGGGCUCCCCAGGGUGUCUCAGUAUGGGCAGGCUGUAAAUGCUGAAUCACCUCAAAAGCAAAAUCACCCCUCCAUUCUCUCCUCCACAGAGCAGCAAGAGGCUUUGUGCCCUAACCCAUCACUGGGUUCCCCAUCCUGAAAGUGGGGGGAUAAUCCACCCCUCAGUGGCUGGUCCCCCAGGGCCACCACUGCCCAGACACAUUUGUUUAGGGGCAGAGACCAGUACCUUCUGAUGUGCAGGAGAAACCCCACUGCAUGGUGGCACCUGCUCAGCCAAGAGCCCUUCACUCCUCAUCCCCUUCCCAGUUCCUGGUCAUGAUGGUCUCCCAACUGGAAUAAGGACCUUCUCUCACAUCACCUCUCUGCACAUGAGAAUUUCCAGCCACCUUUUCCUCCGUGUGCUGUCACUGUCCUGAGAUGCUCUGGCAAUACCUGCAAGUCCAUUUUAACAUAGCUGAGUCCUUGGAGCCAGCGAGGAAGGGAAGUGGGACUGUGCUCCCUGGCAGAUUGCAGUCCUCUGAACCCCCACAGAGCUGAGAAAACCUGAGAAUAAACCAGCAAAAUUCUCACAUGAAAAGCAACCAGGAAAGUGGCAGUUUGGGGAGUCUCUUACUGCUGGAGAAUGAAGCAAAAGGUAGGAAUGAAGAGAGUGUGGAAUAACACAGAAAUGUUUAGGAAUGAUGGGUUUAAUCUCAGUCAGAAUAUCUUGAAGUGUGGCACCAUGGUGACAAUGACUACAGGCUCAUCCAUGACAAGGCCAUGGGAGCAACCCAGGAAAUUCCUGCACCAUUCCUGCACAGUUUCCUGGGCCCUGCAGACACUGCUGUAAUUCCCUUUCCUUCCACUCUCAGGAGGCAGAAUGGAUUGACCAGCUGAGAUGAUGCUGAGAUUUUGUGGUUUUGUGUCUAACAGAGGCCAGCAAAGGGGCAAUAACAACUCCCUCACUCCUUGCUCCUCCUGCACAUUGCUCUGACAUCCAGUAUCUCUGCUGGAGCCCAGAUCCAUGCUUCCCCCUGCUAAUCCUCAGCCCUGACUGUGAUAUGCUCCCCUCCUACCCUUCUCUGCUUCUCCAGCCCUGGUCCUGUCAGCAACCCAGCAGUAAAGAGGAUGGCUGGAAUUUCCAGGCUGUAGCCUGCUCUGAUGAGCAGCAGCAUCCUUAUCCUGGCUGAAAACCCAUAGCAAGGGAAGUGGAAAGAAAAAGGAAAAGCUGGAGCUUCAAAAACCAAUGCAAGCUGAAUGGGAAGUUUUUGCUUCCAUUUCCCAACUAAUGGCAUCUUGGAAAAUUAAACCAGAGCAGCAGCUGCAAGGAAGCAAACAAAGCAGCUGUGGGGGCUGGGAAGAGAGCUGGCACUCAGUUCCUAAUUUUGUUAUUCUACUGAAUGAGUUAUUUCAAACUGUGGAUUACAUUUGCUGAGGGAACACAAGAUUACGCAUGCGUGUGUGUGUAUACACACAGCAGUGCUCCUCUCCUUGGCAUUUCUGCAUCUCCACCACUUCCUUUUCCCUAGCUGCUCCAGCUCCAGCUCCUCUUGGAUCCCCUUUCACAGCCAUUUGGGCUGUUUUACCAAAAAAUUAUCCCCACUACAAAGAGAGCCAGAGGAAAAUGGGAGUGCUACAUUACAAAUAUGAGUGUUUGGUCACCCAAACAGAAGGAGAGGGAAAAUUUGGCUUAGAGAAACCAGAGUUUAAAAUGAACCUUGGUUCUUCAUUAUGUGUAAAAAAAUCUGAAGAGGCAGCUCCAAGAUGGCAGAUUAAACCUUUUCUAGUGAUGAAAUCACCUGCAAAUAGCUAAUGUCCAUCCUGUAUAUGUCAGGUGGGGAAAGGAGGCUUCCAGGCAGCUUUUUCCCUCAUUCAUACUCCUGGUCUUUGCUCCAUGACUCCUGCUGGGUGUUGUUGGUCAGAAUCACAACCUCCCUGGAUCAUAAAGAUGCUCAGGCCUGUAGAAUUUAAGUUAAUUUUAUAUCCAGACAUCCUGGUCCUAAUACCCUUCACUGACAGGGCUUAGGCAGCAUUUUGUGCAUCCCAAACACCUCACAGUGUUAGAUAAUAGAGUUGUCCAGUCAAUUCUACUCUCUCUCCUGCUAUUAUUUAUUAUUUAAGAAAAACAGGAAAGGGAGAAGAGAUACAUUUUCCACUGAGGUUUGAGGAGAGAUUAAGAAGGAACGAAGCAGAGAGGUGAAGGGGAGGCUGAGAGAGAAGUGCUCAGCAUUGCAUCCAGCUUUUACUGGGACUGUGGGAGGUCACAGGCUGUAUGACAAGUAUCCAGGUGGGAAGGAUGGCAAAGAGAUAACUUUUCUGGUAGACACUGGGAGAAACAAAGAGAAAUUACAUGCUUGGUCUCUAUACAGGGACAUUAAUAUCAUCAGUAUGUCAACACUCUUGGGCUCUGUAUGGUGCUGGGGUCAGUCUAUCCUUGGUUUAUUCCUAUUUUAACCUUGAUUGAACAGGUUAUGAUCUUUAGUGGAAGCUGAUAGUCAAUCCCAUUUAAUUUAGCAGUAAACUUGAGUGCUGUAGUGUCUGAGGGGAGCCUUAGUUCAAAGCCACUGUGCCUCCAAAAGGCAGGAUGAGGCCAGAGCUGCAGCCUGGGAACGGCCAGAACACACCUUGUUUGCACAAACAUUUUUAAGAACCUUUUUUUUCUACGGAAAGAUAAAUUCUGGUUUAAAAUGACAAUAUUUUCAAGAUAAACUGUUGGGAUUUCAGAAAAUAAGACUAUUCUGCUGUUACUCAGCUGCAGUCUGAAAUCAUUUACAUCCAUCUCAUGCUGCUUGGUUUCCAGGGUCUGUUGAGAUGACAACCCUAUCUCAUGCUGCUGUGGGCUGCUGAGCAGAAGCCUCUGCUGAGUUUAAGUAAAUGCAUAAAUGAUCUUCUUGGUGAGCAACCUCUUAAGCCCAGCUGGGGUACCUGUGCAUUAAACCAGCCUUCCAAAACAUCAGCACGAGCUGCAGUGGAACACCAGCUCCAGCCCCUGACAGUGCAGUUGAGCCCUCAAGGAGCUGAGAAAUGUGAUGAGAGGGACAGAGUCAGGGGAAGGUGAAGAGGAAAAACAUUUUAGGGAAUGUAGAGAAGUAAGAGCUCUGAUCAGGUACCACUCUAGCAAUAAGAAAGAUGUGUUUCCAUGGGAGAAAGCCUUUCUAAUACUUUCUUGAUGGGAUUUUUCCUUAGAAAUAAUCAGUCUGAAUCACAGCUUCAUUAUGGGAUGGUUGUGCUGAUGGUAGGCUGGGGAAAAGCAGAGGUCUGGUGUGGAAGCAAGAGUCCUGUUUUCCCCUGUAAAAAGUGCUGAAGAUCAAAGGAUGCUUUUCCAGCACCAAUGCCAUGGAGGGAGCCAGCCCCACGCUGGGAAGUGGAGCUGCUGGUGUUCCUCAGCAGUGACAACCUGAGCUGAGCCUUGCCUCCCCUGCAUUGUCAUCCUCACUCAGAUCUUUGCUGCUGUUUGGAAAAGGGCUUUACUGCUUUCAUUCAUUAAUUCAUUUUUGCAGGAAGCCUGCAUAACCCUUUGCCUUCCAGAUGGGAAAACCCACUUCUACAAAAGGAAAAUCUGGUGAUGGAUCUGUGAAAUGGUGAGUUGUUAGAAAUUCUUUUUAGUGGUGCAAGUGUCUUUUUUGCUCUGGUAUUUUUAUGGUGGCAUUUGCAGAAGAACACUUCCCCCUCUGUCCUGCCCUUCCCCUGGGAAGGGGUCUCUGGCCAGAGCAACAUCACAGUUUCUAGGCUGUAAUGCUGAGUGCUGAGAGAUGGACAAGAAAACAUACAGCUCAUGAAGGACUUCAUGAUCUGUGAUCUCUGGGUAGGCAGAACAGAAUUCACCCUUCCCUCAGCACGUGCCCUGCACACAGGGAUUGUUAUGUCUGUGCUGUGAGCAAACACCUCUACUAACCUCUCACUGGCUCGCUCACCUUGGGAGCUGGUCCUGCUUUUCUGCUUGGAGACUUUCAGAUGUCUCUUCCAAUCCAGGUUAUCUUGUGAUUUUAAUGGUCUUCUGGAGCUGAGAAGCCCAGCUUAAGGCUGGACCCUCUGGCUAUCCACUUUCUGAAGGGGUUUCUGCCCAGAUAUUGCUAUAUCUGGCAAGCCCCAGUGCCCUACAAGCCUAAUUUUAGCUCAGUGCUGCAGGCUGGCUUCUUGUCAUGGGCCAGGAGAAGGUUAAUGAUCAUCUGGGCAGCCCUCCAAAACCAAUCUAAUGUUUAUUCAGGAUAACAGCAUUGCAGAGGAAACCAAGCAUGACCACCUUCCACGUACAGCUUGCCCAUCGCAGCCCUGCUCCUGCAGGUGAUGUCAUUUUAAACCAGAAUUUAUCUUGCCAUUUAUCUUGCUCUGCUGGAGCAGCUCACGUUGGUCCACUCUUGGAGGAGACCCUUCCCUAGGUCAACUCAGGAACUCAUCAACAUUUCCAACCCUGCCCUCUUAACCCAAACAGAUGCUGUUUUUCUACAGAAAAGCAGUUUACCAGGCUGUGGGUCUGCUGUUUCAGCAGUGGAAAUAUGCACUCACCCUUUUAUUUAUUUAAUUUUUUAAUAGGACACUCCUCACAGGUCAGAUAGCCAGGCUACAAACAAAUAUCCAUUUAUUUGGAUAUUUGGGAGGUGGGUCAGUGGUCCCAGCCUGGGGGUGGUGGCCUGGGUGCUGCAGGUCUGUGCUCCAGCUGGGUCUGGGAUGGAGGUGAGAGGAUGAGGGGCUGGUGCAGAUUAGCCCAUGAGGAGGCACAGGGAUGUGAGACAGCAGUGACUGCACCCUCUGGCAGAGGGCAGAGUCCACAAGAUGGCUGUGUGCAUUUAUUCACCUCAGCUGCUCUUUAAUGGCUUAAUUUCAGCCAUGAAUUACAGCCUUGUCUUCCCACCAGCACAGCCCCUGCAGUUAUUCCAUCAUGCCUCUGACCCAGCGUGAAAGGAUGUGCAACAGAUUCAUCCCAAGCAUACCCUGCACCUGUAGGGAGGGUGGCAGAUGGAUUCUAGGCUGGUGUAGUCUGAAAUGAGGAAAAUCAGCCUGUGAAGGUGUGAGCUCUCCAUGAAUGUGUGCACAGGUCACACACGCAAUGCCACGUGUGGGAGUUUGCUUCCCAGGGGAACAAUUGCUUCCAGGUACCUGCUCCUCCCCCCUGGGAUGUUUGAGCAUCCCUCAGUCAUAAAGGAAGGUAAAUUAACAUUUCUGGUCAAUGCUCGUAGCUCUGCUUGUUUAGACCUUCAUUUAAUAAAGCUGCUGAUUUCAGCAAGGGUUCGGGAGGAAUUCAAACCAGCACCAAGUGCUUUGCUAAAUCCAAGCUGGAGUGAGCUGGAGAGCAGCACGUGGUCCCCAGAACAUGGAGAGGAGCUCCCUGCCCAUGGCUGGAUGCUGCAGGUGAUGGGGAUUCCUCCUUGGGCAUGACACAGACAUUUUUCAGUGCUUUUCCUGUGUUACUUGCAUUUUGGGGUUUUUUAACAAUGUGGGAUGUCCCAAACAAACAAUCAUUCUCCAUCCUCCAGCUGUAGUAGUAAAUAUCUGAUGUUGAACCCAGCACAACCUGGGUAGUGCCCAAAGGAGGACUUUCUUUAUCCUCUCUGCUGCCACCUCUUCCUCAAGAAGCCUACAGAACUAAUCCCAAUUAGUGCUACAGUGUGCUGGGGUGCCCUCCUUUGUCUUCUCCUGUGGAGCAUCUCUGCACUUGGCUCAGGGGGCAGAACCAGAACACAUGGGUAGUCAGGUGAGAAGCUGGAUCUGGGAAGCAGGGCUGAUGAUGGACCACCAAUGGCAGCACCCUGUGGCCAGACAGCUGUCCUGAGACAAGAGCGUGGCAGAGGAUUUGGGAAGGAGGGAGGGGUUUGUUUGCCUGGGCCUGGGCGAGCUCCUGGGGAUGGAGGAAAGGGGGUAGAGAUAGAAAGUGCAGCAUCUCAGGUGAUGCAGAUAAUCGCCUUUAAUCUCCUGCUCAAAAUAACCCAAAGUCAAGUAAAGGAGGGAUUACAGGGCCUAAGCCACUGUUAUUGCGGGGUGGAACAGACUUAGGUUGCCUCUGAAGGGCUCCCGAGGAAGAAGAGGAGCUGCAGCAAACACUGCUGGAAAUGCCUCCUGGUGAGGGUGGCUGGGUGGGCUGGGGACCCUCCUGAGGUAGCCCAAGGGGAGCUGGAGCUGCAGGGACAGCAGCUGCUGGCAGACUGAGGAGCCUACACAGGACCUGGUCCCAGGGAGAGAGUGCCUCAGAUGCCACUGGUCACCUUGUCAUUGCUGAUGGGUUUAUUCUUAGUGCAGGAUCCAAAGUGCUUUAUAGCCAUUAAUUAUCCUAAUGGGGAAGCAGUGCCCCUGAAACCCAUUUUACAGAUGGGAAACAGAGCCCAGGAGGAGCUAAAUGACCCACCAGGUGCUGGGGCAGGGCUAGAGAGGUGGCCAGGCCCUGCCCCCACCUCCCUCCAAUUUGAAGGGGCCUUUCCUUGGAUGUGUGUUCCCAUCAGCUGUGAAGGCACCUCCUGCCCUUUGCCAAAAAGCCACACCACAGCUCCCUGGCUGCUGUGCUGCAGCCGGGGAAAACUGAGCUGCAGGGCCCUAUUCAUCAGCUCCUGGUGAUGCCUCUGAGAUAGCAGCAGCACAGGGACUGUGUGAAGCAGGAUUGCACUGGGGAGGGAGCAGAGUAUGCUCAUUUUAAUGAGCCUGUCCCUGCCUAAAGGAGAGAGAAAGCGAGAGGCCAACCUGGUUUAAUAAACUCUGGCAUGCGGAUUUAAUCAGACGGAUCAUUGUUCCCCAGCACAGGGAUGAAUAUAUUAAAAAAAUGAUUCAAACUUUUCCCCUUUGUUUUUCAUUUGUAUUAUGUGCUGUGGUGUGAUAAAACAUCCUGGGGCCAACUUGCAAGGCAAUAAAAGAGACAGUGGAGGAGAGGAAGACAUUGAUCCAUGUGAGCGAGCACAAGCGCUGUGGGAAGGAGGCUGCUGGCAGGCAGGGCUGGGAGAGAGGGGCUGCAGCAUCCUCAGCCCCCACCAAAGCCCCAGGGAAGAUGUGGUUAUGGAGGCUGACCUGCUGUCAGCUCCUUUUCAGAGAUCUGAGAUGACUAAUAGCAGUUUAAGUCCAGAGCUAAAAGCAGCCUUCUUCAAGCAUGAGACUUCCAUCUCACCACAGAAAGGUCUGAGCACAAGAAAAUCCCCACACCCCUGCCCCAGGAGGGCAGGAGGGACAGUCCCCACCUUUCUACAGGGACACCAGCACGUGGAUUGUGCUGGUGGUGUCUUUUGGAGUGGCCUCCCAGGGAAUGGUGCAACAGGACAAACUUUCCUCUGGACUCUCCCUUUCCCCAUGGAGUUGUUUCAUCUCUGCCUCCUUGUGCCAGGGGAUCUGGGUGCUGCUCACUAAUUUAGAGAACUAAACAGCUGUGGGUGCAAAGCUGCAAACUGGCAGAAGACAAAGGCUGCUCCCCGUGUGAAUGCCACAGCCCUGUGCCUCUGCCCGUCCCUGGGGACAGCAGGCAUUCUUGGAGGCACAGAAAGGCCUUGAGCCAGCACAGCAAAGAGCAAACUGGGUCUGCAGACAGCCCAGGUGGGAUUGUGCCAGGGUGUGCCUCAGCAGCACCUGGCUCUGUGCUUGCAAGGCUCUGGCUACGUGGGUGGGAAUAAAGCCAGCUUAGACAAAAUAGUCUUUUGUACUAAAUCCUGGACAGACCACCUGGAGCUGUGGGCAAGGACAGACCUCAGGGGCCUCAAGAUGCCUCCAUGGAAUUUACCUCCUUUGCCCUGCCCAAGCUCAGUGUCCUUGGCUCAGGCUUAAAUAACCCCCAGCCUUGCUUUGCUCGCCCUGCUCUGGCCCAUCAGGCUGCUUGCCACCCUGAGACACAAAGAAUUGGCUCUCCAAGGAUGGCACAGGGCACUCAGCUGGGGUUUUAACCUCUCCCUCUAAUACUAAGGCCAGAGGUGUCUCGCUGCACCAGACAGCUCUCUGACAGGUGACAGAUGGGCAUUUGGCUGAAGGCAGCCCAGAGGGGUUUUUUGGGGGGCUACAGUACACCACACCAGAGCAAAGCUGUACCUGACAGGUUUGACUGGCCCUAAGACACAGAUGGGGUUUGUGGUGAGAACCCAGGAAUUACUUUUUACAUCCUUCCUUCAGGAUGGAUGACCAGCAGCUGCAGGGCCAUGAUAAUGUUUAGACUAAAAGGCAUCUGCUUCCUUGGAAAAGCUUUCUCUAAACUGUGCCAUUGACCCAUCCACUGAAGAGUCACUUAUGGCCACUUGGAGUUAAGUAUCACCAACUUUGGCUUCUAACACACCACCGUGCUGCUGCUUCAUUACUUGAUCCAUUACUGUCCAUAAACACUAAUAAAUAAUCCUAUUUUCAUUCCCCCCAUUGUUUAAGUGGUCAUUAAUUGUAGUUUAUAUGCUUUCCUUGCGUAUUUGUGUACGAUAGCUUCUUCAUGAUUCCUUGAUUAACUGUGAUUGAUCGUGUAUUUUAAAAUCAAUUAAAAGUUGCAACACUAAAAGGUAGAGUCUUUAGCAGUAAUUCUCCAAGACAUUGCCAUUUAUAAUGGAGCUAUUGUAGUGCUGGGAUCCAUUAGUGUGGCAGGCUGUGAUCUUUAUUUUCCAGAUUUAUGCAAAUAAGUAAGUGUGAGUGUGCACGUGGCUGUGUCGGGUGUGGGAAAGAAUCAGCUUCUCACAGGGUUGCUGGCUUUUGUGGGUGACCAGGAAUCACCCACUCCCUUCCUUAAGGCACUAUGCAAGGGCUGAGCCCCAACACCCUAUAAUUUCCUUGCACUGUGUAUUAAUUUUCUAAUUGUAAAGAGGUGCUGAUACCCUCAGCUGAAGGGGGGCACAAAGUGGGAUGGGUAUUCUUCUGCAAAGCUGCUUCAGUGAAUGCCCUGUGCCUUGCUGGGGUGGAGGUGAGGGGCAUGUGGGAGGAUGGGGAUGGCUGUGAAGGUCUGUGUCUGUGGUGGUGCUGAUAGGAUGGAGGAGGAGGAGGGUGGCCACCAGUGGGUGUCAGGGCAUGUGCUGGAGCACAAAUCUCUGCUCUUUAUAGCAUCAUACCUGUAUUACAUCAAUGUUUAGCUCCUCAUAUUGCUGCUGUGCUGGGAAAAUGUGUAUGUCCAGCACCAGGGCUGGAGGAGAUGGGUUUAACACCGUGCUGCCUUGUCCUGUAAACCUGGAUCCUAAGUGCUCAUGCCUCUGUGCACCCUGUGACUCCAGGGCAGCUCUGCCCAAGCAGAGAAUUAGGGAUGGGGGAACCACAAAAGAGAUUUUGUGCAGGUGCUCCGAGGUGGGGAGCAGAUCCCCAAGGACCAGUGGGAAAUCAGGCCCUUGUAAUGGAUCCCCUACUUGUCCCCUGUCCUCCUGGAUGUCUGCCUGCUGCCAGGAGCAGGGCCCUCCCAGCCAUCUGCCAGCUCAGGCAGAGGAUUCCUGUGUUCUAAUCUGCUCACAGA